AGAUUAUGAACAAAGCACACACGUGGGGCUGCCAUUUUAAGUCGUGCUGACAUCUGAGGACAGCUGCAGGAGAUUCUUCCUGAAAAUUUAUGUUGCUGGAUGAGGAAACAAAGUCGAGUUAUGAAGUAACUUUCCUGGUGCAGAGGCCCACCCAGAUUGGAAUUCCAAUAAAUUUGACUUUAUCUAUAUAAACACUGUGCUCUCAGACUGCGUUUGCCUCUAUACCAACACAAAGCUUUUCUUCACUCGCCCAUUGUCUGCUUGGCUGGAGCUGAAGAAAUGGCUGUGAUUGACAAGAACUACUAAAAUAAAACCUUUUCCUUGUUUGGACAAUGGAUUUCGGUCAGCUUGGGCUGAAGAAUCAUUGGCUGUAAUUAAGAAGACACCAGCGGCAGGACAGAGAUGGCACACAUCUUUGAUCCCUGCACUCAGUAGGCAGGGGCAGGGGUAUCUCUGAGUUUGAGGCCAGCCUGGUCUACAGAGUGAGUCCCAGGACAGCCAGAGAUACAGAGAAAUCCUGUCUCAAAAACCAAACAAACAAAAA